AUGCUCCUCGGCUGGCACCCAACGUCUGAGAAACUGGGGGUGUGGGGCGCCGGGGGAAGCCCUAAGGGAACACUCGGGAGGCCAGGAAGCCGAGCCCUCAGGAGCACCUCGGGGCGUGAGGAGAAGGGGGGCGGGUGCUGCCCCAUGACUCUCCCUGCUUGUCCUACCGAUGCCCGCUCUGCUGGGCGGACCCUGUUCUCUCCCAGGGACUCCCAGCCGGGGUGCUGUUCACAUCUGGGGCCCGAUCACCCUCGGCUGUUAGGGGCAGUCCUGUGUUCUGUGGGAUGCGAAGCAGCACCCCCAGUUCUACCCGUUCCACGCCAGGAGCCCCUGUGGAAGGCACAGUGCCCCCCCCAAAGAUGUCCAUGCCUUCAGAGCAAACCCGCACAUGUGCAGGUCCGCACAGCGGGGCCUAGCAGCAGCCCGCGCCACCCGGGGGCCCACGGAAGAGGCAGGCGGAUGCCACGUGCUGGCUUUGGAGGCCGAGGAAGGGGCCUCGCGCCAAGGGGUGCCGACCGCUUCUAGAGGCUGCAGCAGCCGGGAACACACUCUCCCCAAGAGCCUCCAGGAGGGAGGGAGCCCACCCACACCCUGAUCUUGGCCUCGUGAGACCCGUCUUGGACUCCUCAGUGAAGUGCUUGGGGACGUGAGGUCUGGGGCGGCGAGCUCUUGGGGCAGCAGAUCCGUCUCCAGGUGGUGGGUGAGUGACCUCUCCUGGCUCCACGCUCGACUGGAGAAGGCCACGGGCUCUGUGCUGUCCCCAACCCGCCCACGUGGGGCCGGCCCUGCAGCCUCCCUAACCAUGGUGACCGUGAAGUGGCACAGGGUGCUGCCCCGCUGGAGGCCCCUCCACUCUGCCCACUGUGGUGGGUGCUGGGGGCUGGUCCACCUGGCAGCCGGCUCCCAGCCCGGGAGAGACCCUGAGACCCCGUGAAAGGCAGAGGGCUGGUCAUGAGUGUCCCGGACUCCCCGCCGUCUGACUGCAGCCUCUCGACACGCCCCCGGUGACACCAGAACCGGUAGGGGCAGCCCACUGGAC
rnacentral:lncRNA from 1 species